rnacentral:tRNA from 1 species
UCCCUGGUGGCUCAGAUGGUAAAGCAUCUGUCUGCAAUGCAGGAGACCUGGGUUCGAUCCCUGGGUCGUGAA